rnacentral:rRNA from 1 species
AUUGAACGCUGGCGGAAUGCUUUACACAUGCAAGUCGAACGGCAGCACGGGGGCAACCCUGGUGGCGAGUGGCGAACGGGUGAGUAAUACAUCGGAACGUGCCCAGUCGUGGGGGAGUAACGUAGCGAAAGCUACGCUAAUACCGCAUACGAACUCUGGUUGAAAGCGGGGACUCGCAAGAGCCUCGCGCGAUUGGAGCGGCCGAUGGCAGAUUAGGUAGUUGGUGGGGAAAGGCUCACCAAGCCGACGAUCUGUAGCUGGUCUGAGAGGACGACCAGCCACACUGGGACUGAGACACGGCCCAGACUCCUACGGGAGGC